rnacentral:misc_RNA from 1 species
UGCAAUCCAGCCGAAGCCUAUUUUCAUCGCAGACAACCUAUUUCACCACAGCAGCGUUGGCCUCGGUCCCGUUAUUGGCGUUGGUAAAUUAAGCGCGUUACUAAACAGCCACCACGCCCUCACUCUUUUCUCUUCCGCUGUCUGGUUUUUCUCUCCCUCGACACACCAGCGGUCUUCCUAGGGUUAACGCCCUCGAGCAGUCCCGAUUCGAUCACGUCGACGCACUCGUCGGUUCUCUCUCUCUGCUUACCACUGCUACUACUCCGCCGGUUCACUUUCCUCGACGAAGACGAAACAACGCACACGCGAUGGCGUCGCGCGGUCAAACCGAAACGAGCAAGCUGAAGGAGCGGCUCGAAGAGCAGCUCGAUCGGCUCAUGGCACAGCUGAGCGACCUCGAAGAGUGCCGAGCCGAACUCGACGAGGACGAGUACGAGGAGACCAAGCGCGAGACGCUGGAACAGCUGCGCGAGUUCCAGCAGUCUCUGGCCAAGAUCGUGUCUGGAGACAUGACUCUCGUGGACCAGCUGAGCGGCAUGCAGCUCGCCAUACAGGCGGCCAUUAGCGACGCUUUCCGGACGCCCGAGGUGAUCCGGAUGUUCGCCAAGAAGCAGCCAGACCAGCUACGCGAGCGCUUGUCGCAGCUGCAGAGGGACGCCAAGAUUGGCCGGCUCACCGAGGACGAGCUGGCACCGCAGAAGCUCGAGAUCCUCGCCGCCCUCAAGAAGCUCAAGGCCAGCCUGCUUCCCGAAGAGGAGCACUACCUCGAGAAGCACGCUAGCAAGGCGCUGCUCGACUUCGACCAAGUCGGCGAAGACACGGCGGACGCGAGCCGACUGCUCGACGUAGCGGGCUCCCAAAUCAAGGCUGCUGUGCAGCGAUGACUUUCUUUCUAGUCCGGUUCGCCCUUCCGGAAUGUUCGCUUCCGGUGCGUGUCCCUGCCCGUUGCAUUGUUUGCAACUUUUGAGGUGCCGGUAAAUGAUGGGCGCACCUUUUCGUAAAGCAAGCGCCGAUCCCGACUGUCGCAGCUGUUCCGUGUCAUCCACAUAAAGUGUUGCGUAUAGUAAGUGCGAUGGUGCAAUCAUUUUGCCCUUGACCAUAGAGUUUCCUAGGAAAAUUACUAGAGGGAACUCUCAGCUACCAUUCCGCAAUCAUUGAGCUAACAUGAGAAUGAUGGCUGGUUACGUGGAUUUGUCUAAUCUUCAUUCCUGCAGCUUAAUAUUUAUUGUGCUUUAUGCCCCUCUAUUGGCCUGAAUUUCCAGCCGAUCAUAUCUUUCUAAACACAUGAAGGCGAUCAGGCUCUCUCAGCACAUGCAUAGUUGUUGCAAAUUGUUGCAUUUGUAACACAAUACUUUGUUGACCAUGAUCAGUUUGCAAGGACGCUAAGUUUGAAGUCACAAUGACAAAGUAUAGGGAAAUCCGCGUUCAAGCCGUCAUUGCUCUGCCGGCUGAUCUGCAAUACUUCCAGCUUCCAUAUGCAUUGGUGCCAGAUUUCCCUCUAAUAACAUUUGCAUAAACAACUUUCUGCCAUCAACCAUUUACAAAGGCUACUGUCACAGCCGUGCUGUCUCAUCGAAGUUGCAUGGAUGUACAAAUAAAUUUAAAUGUUAGAUUCAGUUGCAAACAAGUCAAACCGUCGAUUCAGCCACAUUUGGUCAUGUUCAGCAGGUGCAGUCGAUUCAAUGUUGAAGCUAGAGAAGUGGAGCUUCCACUUCCUUUCACAGGGAAGUCCACAUGAUUUUUCUUUCUUACACUACUAUACAUGGCAAGUCAUGUGAACUGUCAAGAGUAUUUUUUGUAGUUUAGUUUUUGUAUUGAAAGGUACUGAAGGCCGGAAUGCCAUUGUCAAUGUGCAAAACUCAUCAUACAUUGCCGAGAGAGAGAUUUGAAAGGCAGCAUCGCAUUAUGUGAUGGCGUGCGACGGGUCAUUCUUUUUUGUACGAGACAUCAAGCCUUGUAAAGGCUGAUAUCCUUUAUCAGUCAUUGAUAUGUAUG